UUGGAAGUAAAAAGUCGUAACAAGGUCUCCGUUGGUGAACCAGCGGAGGGAUCAUUACCGAGUUUUCAACUCCCUAACCCUUCUGUGAACCUACCUAUCGUUGCUUCGGCGGACUCGCCCCAGCCCGGACGCGGACUGGACCAGCGGCCCGCCGGGGACCUCAAACUCUUGUAUUCCAGCAUCUUCUGAAUACGCCGCAAGGCAAAACAAAUGAAUCAAAACUUUCAACAACGGAUCUCUUGGCUCUGGCAUCGAUGAAGAACGCAGCGAAACGCGAUAAGUAAUGUGAAUUGCAGAAUCCAGUGAAUCAUCGAAUCUUUGAACGCACAUUGCGCCCGCCAGCAUUCUGGCGGGCAUGCCUGUUCGAGCGUCAUUUCAACCCUCGACCUCCCCUUGGGGGGGUCGGCGUUGGGGACCGGCAGCACACCGCCGGCCCUGAAAUGGAGUGGCGGCCCGUCCGCGGCGACCUCUGCGCAGUAAUACAGCUCGCACCGGAACCCCGACGCGGCCACGCCGUAAAACACCCAACUUCUGAACGUUGACCUCGAAUCAGGUAGGACUACCCGCUGAACUUAAGCAUAUCAAUAAG
rnacentral:rRNA from 1 species